rnacentral:rRNA from 1 species
UGGCGGCAGGCCUAACACAUGCAAGUCGAGCGGUAACAUUUCUAGCUUGCUAGAAGAUGACGAGCGGCGGACGGGUGAGUAACGCGUAGAAAUCUACCUAGUAGUGGGGGAUAGCCCAGAGAAAUUUGGAUUAAUACCGCAUACGCCCUACCGGGGGAAAGCCGGGGGAUCUUCGGACCUCGUGCUAUUAGAUGAGUCUGCGUCGGAUUAGCUUGUUGGUGAGGUAAUGGCUCACCAAGGCGACGAUCCGUAGCUGGUCUGAGAGGAUGACCAGCCACACUGGAACUGAGACACGGUCCAGACUCCUACGGGAGGCAGCAGUGGGGAAUAUUGCACAAUGGGCGCAAGCCUGAUGCAGCCAUGCCGCGUGUGUGAAGAAGGCCUUAGGGUUGUAAAGCACUUUCAGCAGUGAGGAAAGGGGUGUCGUUAAUAGCGCCAUCCUGUGACGUUAACUGCAGAAGAAGGACCGGCUAACUCCGUG